rfam:Euryarchaeota archaeon TMED164 106998, whole genome shotgun sequence.
UGAGCUGAUUGGGUGAUUACUCAAUUUAUUUGAGAGGAAAGUCCGGGCACCGUAGAGCAUAGUGCCACCUAACGGGUGGGAUUCGNGAGAAUAUGGAUUAGUGCAGCAGAGAAUAGACCGCCAUUUAUUUGGCAAGGGUGAAACGGAGGUGUAAGAGACCCCCAGUAGUAGUGGUAACAUUACUAGCUUGUAAACCCCACUAGGUGCAAGAUCAAGUAGUUCCAAGAUACGGCUCGUAUCAUUGAGGAACGGGUAGAUCGCUAGAGUUCUAUAGUGAUAUAGGAUAGAGAGGAAUGAUCAUCGCAUUGAAAAAUGUACAGAACCCGGCUUAUAGAUCGGCUCAAAGA